rnacentral:rRNA from 1 species
CGAAUAACUAUGGUGUUGGUUGUAGCUGGCUCCUCGGAGCAAUGUGCACGCCCGCCAUUUUUAUCUUUCCACCUGUGCACCGACUGUAGGUCUGGAUACCUCUCGCCUCCGGGCGGAUGCGAGGGUUGCUCGAGAGGGCUUCCCUUGAACUUCCAGGCUCUACGUCUUUUUACACACCCCAAUAGUAUGAUGCAGAAUGUAGUCAAUGGGCUUCUCAGCCUAUAAAACACUAUACAACUUUCAGCAACGGAUCUCUUGGCUCUCGCAUCGAUGAAGAACGCAGCGAAAUGCGAUAAGUAAUGUGAAUUGCAGAAUUCAGUGAAUCAUCGAAUCUUUGAACGCACCUUGCGCUCCUUGGUAUUCCGAGGAGCAUGCCUGUUUGAGUGUCAUUAAAUUCUCAACCUCACCAGUUUUCUGAACUGACUGAGGCUUGGAUGUGGGGGUUUGUGCAGGCUGCCUCACGGCGGUCUGCUCCCCUGAAAUGCAUUAGCGAGGUUCAUGCUGGACCUCCGUCUAUUGGUGUGAUAAUUAUCUACGCCGUGGACGAGGAUACAGACUCGCUUCUAAUCGUCCGCGAGGACAAUCCCUUGACAAUUUGACCUCAAAUCAGGUAGGACUACCCGCUGAACUUAAGCAUAUCAAUAAGCGGAGGAAAAGAAACUAACAAGGAUUCCCCUAGUAACUGCGAGUGAAGCGGGAAAAGCUCAAAUUUAAAAUCUGGCGGUCCUUGGCCGUCCGAGUUGUAAUCUAGAGAAGUGUUACCCGCGUCGGACCGUGUACAAGUCUCCUGGAAUGGAGCGUCAUAGAGGGUGAGAAUCCCGUCUUUGACACGGACUACCGAGGCUUUGUGGUGCGCUCUCAAAGAGUCGAGUUGUUUGGGAAUGCAGCUCAAAAUGGGUGGUAAAUUCCAUCUAAAGCUAAAUAUUGGCGAGAGACCGAUAGCGAACAAGUACCGUGAGGGAAAGAUGAAAAGAACUUUGGAAAGAGAGUUAAACAGUACGUGAAAUUGCUGAAAGGGAAACGCUUGAAGUCAGUCGCGUCGUCCGGGAAUCAGCCUUCCUUCUGGUUGGUGUACUUCCUGGUUGACGGGCCAGCAUCAGUUUUGACCGGUGGAAAAAGUUCGAGGGAAUGUGGCACCUCCGGGUGUGUUAUAGCCCUCGUUCGUAUACAUCGGUUGGGACUGAGGAACUCAGCACGCCGCAAGGCCGGG